rnacentral:rRNA from 1 species
GUGGGGAAUAUUGGACAAUGGGCGAAAGCCUGAUCCAGCCAUGCCGCGUGUGUGAAGAAGGCCUUCGGGUUGUAAACUGCUUUUGUACGGAACGAAACGGUCCGGGUUAAUACCCUGGGCUAAUGACGGUACCGUAAGAAUAAGCACCGGCUAACUACGUGCCAGCAGCCGCGGUAAUACGUAGGGUGCAAGCGUUAAUCGGAAUUACUGGGCGUAAAGCGUGCGCAGGCGGUUUUGUAAGACAGGCGUGAAAUCCCCGGGCUCAACCUGGGAAUUGCGUUUGUGACUGCAAGGCUGGAGUGCGGCAGAGGGGGAUGGAAUUCCGCGUGUAGCAGUGAAAUGCGUAGAUAUGCGGAGGAACACCGAUGGCGAAGGCAAUCCCCUGGGCCUGCACUGACGCUCAUGCACGAAAGCGUGGGGAGCAAACAGGAUUAGAAACCCGAGUAGUCC